AUGCAGAAUUAAUAGGGCGCCGGGAACUGAGUAUAAAUAGGCUGUUAGUCAUUGAGGUGGGCAGAAUUGAGGCAGGGAGAAGGCUGAUGUUUGGUCUGCAGGCAAAACUGAUGUGGAAGCUGUGGAGGAGAAGCGAAUGUUCAUGAAGAAGCAGAAAGGUGCAAUGGCAGGAGGUUUCUGAAGUGUUUCUCUGUAAACGGAAGAGAUUGGCUGAAUACAUGUUAUAAAGUCCUAAUGAGUACGCUUGAAAGGAAGACUCCGAACUCAAAAGUUAGGUUGAGAGCCACUGUGUAAGACUUUAAGGACAUACGAAGUAACAGCAAAAAUCAGAUGCCUAGGAAAGAUAAUUACAAUGGGAGAAGCACAAAGUGAUGCUUUCCCCAUACAUGCUUCCAGCCAGACUUCCUGAGCUGAGGGUGAUAUCCUUGCAAUAAAAAAGCAAAAACAAAAAAACCCUCAGUGCAUUUCUACCACCUUGGCUUAUCUCCUUUUGUAGCUGUCUGAAAUGUUAGCAUUCACCUCAUCCUUUAGCAGGAUGUCUCAAGAAUUUUUGUUUUAGAUUAUUUACCUAGCAGGCUUUCUGCGCAGAACUGAGGAAUGUCGACAGCACUGCAUACCUGAAUGAGGAAUUAAGGCUGCAGGAGCAAAUAGAACCCUCUCUCCAAAGGUGCCACAACAGAGGAAUCUGCAGCAGCUCCUGGACUCACAUCACAGAGGUUGCAGACUCCUGUCACAUGCCACAAAGCUGCACUGAUGUAGCCUAUUUCUCAAGAAAGAAGCUUUAACAUUGGAACUUAAGGAAUUGAAAGUUUAGAAGAUUAAGAAAAAGUCGGGUCCAAAGCUGGGUGGAGAGAGUACAAUGAAUUUUCAUCAGAAUACUGGCAUUUAUUUGAGACUUUCAGAAUAGCCAAAAGAAAAAAAAAAAGAAGAAGUUAAACUUCCAUAUUUUUGGAACAAAGUCAACUAACUGUUCAGUACCCAUGCAGCUCUAAAGGAACUUGGUGGAUAUGGUCAGGAUCAGAAGAAUGACUCAAACAAUGACUUGCUGACAUGGAAUACACAGUUACAAAAAUAAAAGCAUUAGCCUGCAGCCAUCCUGCUGUGUGCCGUGCUCUUGUCAGAUCUCACAUGUUCAGCAAGGCCAAGGGCAAAGCCAGGUCUGCCCUGAGGGUGAGGGAGGGUCUGAGUCGCUACCCUGCCACGGCAGAACUAAGUGCCUGGAAGUGCAUAAGCAGGAUCUCUUCGCAGCAACCCUUACUAGUGUCUCGUGUUGGUAUCGACUUGGGGAAUGGCACUGGGAAAGCUGGAAGGCAUUUUCCAAACCAGCAGCCAGUGCAUUUCCUAAUUGCAAAGCCCCUGAAACACUGUCAUGCAUGACUUGGCACAUCAUUCAAUGGUUCUUUUUGCAACCUAUGAAAACUGAUGUCUAACUGACUGUAUGGGAAGAAGGACUUCUGUCUAAAUCCUCCUUCACCUGGGCAACAAUGCUUAGUAACAUUCCCUUUGUUGGG
rnacentral:lncRNA from 7 species